UGAUAGCUCAGCCAGUAGAGCAUGCGACUUAAUCUCAGAGUUGUGGGUUCGAGCCCCAUAUUGGGCAAAA